rnacentral:rRNA from 1 species
GACGAACGCUGGCGGCGUGCUUAACACAUGCAAGUCGAACGAUGAAGCCUAGCUUGCUAGGUGGAUUAGUGGCGAACGGGUGAGUAAUACGUGAGUAACCUACCUUUAACUCUGGGAUAAGCCCGGGAAACUGGGUCUAAUACCGGAUACGACCAAUCUCCGCAUGGGGUGUUGGUGGAAAGCGUUAUGUAGUGGUUAUAGAUGGGCUCACGGCCUAUCAGCUUGUUGGUGAGGUAACGGCUCACCAAGGCGACGACGGGUAGCCGGCCUGAGAGGGUGACCGGCCACACUGGGACUGAGACACGGCCCAGACUCCUACGGGAGGCAGCAGUGGGGAAUAUUGCACAAUGGGCGCAAGCCUGGUGCAGCGACGCCGCGUGAGGGAUGACGGCCUUCGGGUUGUAAACCUCUGUUAGCAGGGAAGAAGAGAGAUUGACGGUACCUGCAGAGAAAGCGCCGGCUAACUACGUGCCAGCAGCCGCGGUAAUACGUAGGGCGCGAGCGUUGUCCGGAAUUAUUGGGCGUAAAGAGCUUGUAGGCGGUUUGUCGCGUCUGCUGUGAAGGCCGGGGCUUAACUCCGUGUAUUGCAGUGGGUACGGGCAGACUAGAGUGCAGUAGGGGAGACUGGAAUUCCUGGUGUAGCGGUGGAAUGCGCAGAUAUCAGGAGGAACACCGAUGGCGAAGGCAGGUCUCUGGGCUGUAACUGACGCUGAGAAGCGAAAGCAUGGGGAGCGAACAGGAUUAGAUACCCUGGUAGUCCAUGCCGUAAACGUUGGGCACUAGGUGUGGGGAACAUUCCACGUUUUCCGCGCCGUAGCUAACGCAUUAAGUGCCCCGCCUGGGGAGUACGGCCGCAAGGCUAAAACUCAAAGAAAUUGACGGGGGCCCGCACAAGCGGCGGAGCAUGCGGAUUAAUUCGAUGCAACGCGAAGAACCUUACCAAGGCUUGACAUAUACUGGACCGCAUCAGAGAUGGUGUUUCCCUUCGGGGCUGGUAUACAGGUGGUGCAUGGUUGUCGUCAGCUCGUGUCGUGAGAUGUUGGGUUAAGUCCCGCAACGAGCGCAACCCUCGUUCUAUGUUGCCAGCACGUAAUGGUGGGGACUCAUAGGAGACUGCCGGGGUCAACUCGGAGGAAGGUGGGGAUGACGUCAAAUCAUCAUGCCCCUUAUGUCUUGGGCUUCACGCAUGCUACAAUGGCCGGUACAGAGGGUUGCGAUACUGUGAGGUGGAGCUAAUCCCUAAAAGCCGGUCUCAGUUCGGAUUGGGGUCUGCAACUCGACCCCAUGAAGUCGGAGUCGCUAGUAAUCGCAGAUCAGCAACGCUGCGGUGAAUACGUUCCCGGGCCU